AUUAGUCGAGGUGCGUGCAAGCUGGCCCGGACACCACGGUUAUCAAAAAAAAAAAUAAUAAAAAAAAUCAAUAUCCUGCCUUUACAGGUCAAAACUUCUGAAAUACAUAGUGGUGGAGUUUUGUUUUUCCAAAUAUCCAAAAUUAGUGUUUCUUCCAUUGAUUUGGAUCGUUUCCGUGAGUUGGUAUUCCUAGGAUGUGUUACUUUCUCCUUGUCUUAAGGCCACUUCAUUCAUUUUGUUUACUUAUCUACAGGUUAUACAGAGGCAUACACAAUUCGGAUAGUUGAGGUAAUCCUAUUUUUUUCUUGUUAGAUCUCCUUGCUUACUCUCCCCAUUUCCCCAUUUAGAUAUAAAAUUAAAAUUAGUAGAAGGAAGUAGAGAUCUCUAUUUUUUUGUACAGUAGGAUCUUUUAGUUGAUAGAAGGCAAAAGAUGUCUUUGGUGGAAUAAUAUCUUAUAAAUAAUCACAUCAAUAGUUUUCUAAUGCUGAUUUUGAAAGUUCAUGUAAAAGAUAAACUCUGCCAAAAUGUGCAUUGACACAAGCACACCUAUUUUGGAUGUGCAAGAAGUGGUAUAUAUAUUGGCUAGCAAUAAAUCAAGUGAGGUACACCUGGCUUUAGAGUGUGACUGGUCUGGUUGUAAUUUCCAAUGAUCUUUGGUGACCUUGGAGAAACUGUAAAAGGAAUUUAUGUUUUUCCUAUUGAGAGUGUAUAUUAAUCACUAACUUAAACUAUAUGAAUGAUGGUUCAGGGACUGAAGAACUUCAACAAAUCAGCAAGAGAAUUUAUUCAAUUCCUCAAAACUAUUUAGUGUGUGACAAUUAUCAUAAGGCAUUCAAAACAUAUAGCAAAGCUGAAGUUGCGCUGCAUAACAAGAGGAUUGACUGCUGGAUCAUUAUUAAAGCAAAGGUACUUGAUUCAAGAAGUGGACGGCACUUGAAGAUGUUCAAACGGGAGUAACAAUGCGUAUCAUGAAUGCAACCAUUAGUCAUUAUUGUUAGGAUUGACUUAAGUUUUCCUUUAACCUUAUUAAGUAGUAGUUCUUUGAGAUUUUAACACAUUUGGUAUUGUAAUUUUACACUACUUAAUAUUCUUUUUAAUAUAAUGAAUAUUUUACUUGAUUUUUCCUUUA